AAGACAACAAGACUCUCAGAGGGCGGAGCCACAGAACAGUGAUUGGUCAAACCAUAGAGCUAUAUAGAAGACAGCGCGCUAGCGUAUCUAGUCUUCUGUAGCUAUGGUGGGUACGUCUGGUAGUGUCUGUGGUUGCUGUUGAUCUUGUUUUUGGAGUAAAACACGGUGGAAGCUGAAUUAGUGAGAAUGACUCCUGCUCCUGUCAUCUCUAAGCUCCUCACACAUCUUUACCUGCACAUGAGGAAAAUCACUCCUGUAGAAUGCAGUGGUUCAUCAGAACCUCUGGGGAUGUCCUGUGGAUUCUGUGGAUCCUGUGGGUUGCAGGGUGGGUCCUACCUAGACCAGGCUGAUCCUGGACCAUCCCACAGAUGCUCAAUCAGAUCUGGAUGUGGGGAGUGUGGAACCCAGAUGUUCAGAGGGAGAUGAUGCCACAUCUGGUCCAGACGAUGGAAGGUCUUGAAGUUCUCUGACUGGCCUCGACUGAAGAUGGUCGUCUCACUGGAUUUAAGGUUCAGAUGCUCAGUAACAAAGUCCACCAAUGAGCCAACAGGGAAGCUUUAGGUUAAUUAAAUGUUGCUAUGAAGGUAUCGCUGUUUUUCUUUGUGAAUGCAAUGUGCUCCAACUGAAACUUGAAUUAGAACUUAGAAGUAAAUCCUUCCAUCUGAAAGGAUCUAGUUGCAUUAAUAACCUCAUAACAUUCUAAUUUUUAUUUCAGUCUUGGUUGAAAAUAGAAUCUCUGUAUUGAUUCAGGUAAAAACUGAACUUCACAGCAUGUUGAAGCAAAACAACCAGAUGAAAACUGUGAUGGUGUUGGAUUGUCAGACCGUAAUGUUGCAGCUCAAAGCAGCUUUUCUAGCUCAGUUCAUUCUGACAUUCAGCUAUGAAUCAACACAGCAGAUGGUGAUCCAUGCUGUGGAAGUCUCACAUCUCCUGAUUUAAUGGAGCUGCUUUGCACUUUUUACACUGUUUAUUCACCAACACUUUAUUUAAUAAAAGUCUCAUCUAGUUUUUAUGAGGAAUGUGAUGUUUUAAUUUCUCUGUGAAUAACUGCAGUCUAAUGCAACAGCUGGAGUUGUAACAUCUGUCCUGAUAUUGAUCAUGAAGUAUUGAUCAGAAUACUUAUGGUUAGCAGUCAUCCCUGAAGUUUUACAUUAAAAUCUUUACUUGUGUUGUGAACUUUGGUAAGAAGCAGAAACGUUAGCGUUACCAUGGAUACAUGAGUGUUAAUUUCUGUCCAUGUUUCCAUUUUGGGAAAUGCAGUCCAGCAGAUGAGUUUGUUUUUACUGACAACUACCAUUCAGUCUGAGAUAUUAAGAAUAAAUAAAGGUGCAUAAUGUGGAAAUGAACAGAUUUUAUUUUUAUUUAUUCCUACAGCAGCUGCGGGGAAAGUUCUAGAAUGUGGAGGAAUUUAGUCUCAUAGUCACAGACAAUAAAUAUUAUCUGAAAGUCGGGUUAUUGUUGUUCAUCAGCACAUGUUAGACAUAUUCCAGUUAAGACUCUAGAAUAUCAGAAUUUAUGUAAAUUUACCUCAAUAAUAUGAAUGUUCAGGUUAAGAUUGUACAGUGAUGUUUAUUAUUUAAGUUUAGCUGAUUAAAGUUUGACUCUGCACUACAAUAUUAUUUUUUAUUGAAAUUGACAUCAUUAUUAUAAUAUUUAGGGUCAGACCCUACAGUAUUGAGAUUAAGAAAUCAAAUAUUCUAUAAAAUGGAAAUACACUGAACUCAUUUGGGUAUAUUUAAGUGAGACUCUACAAUAUUAUUUGACACAAAUCUAUCUAAAGCCAAAUUUUAAUCAUUUUUACUCCAAACAUUUACUGAACUGAUUUAAACAUUAAAAUCACUCCUUUCUAUUCCUCUGCUGUACGUUCAAACCUGAGGCCUUAAAUAGAAACACAAGUAUCUGUUUGAAGGAACUUCUGCAGAGUCCUGGUUCCAGAACAUGAUGAUAGAAUUAUUGACAAACUUUAACAAAAGCUGCCUGAGAGUUUACAGGUUUUUAUGUUGGAUUUCUUCAGUAAUUUAAUGAGAGUUAUCAGCAAUAAUCAAGUGUUCAUUUGAUGAACUUCAUUUCCUAAAACAUACAGAAUUGAAGCUCAUAUCUUUGGCAGCUGUAAAGUUUCUGCUCCUUCAAAGUUCACAACACAAUGAAUGAAUUCCUAAAACACUCUCAAUGCUGGAGAGCGUUUGUGAUGCUGAAGCAGUGACCAGUUUUUCUGUUUCUUCUCUGGAGAUGCACAAUGAGGGACGUCUGCAGAGACUGAGAAAGAGUCUCACCACAUCCUGACAUGAGGAAAAAGACUUUAUUGAAGACUACAAUGAGAAAAACUAUCAGACAGCAGAUGGCUGCAUUCAAGGUUACAGGAGGAGCCCUACGAGGACGAGCUGGUCCACCUGAUGGUGGCCAGUCGCUGUGGUUCAAAGCCAACACCGACUACGUGGACUUAUACUGGACCACACGGAGGCCUUCAAACCGGACCAACAAGUUCACCGACUCCCCGACUCGUGGGUCUGAGGACGCCGCCGAGCCUCGGUCCAGCUGGCCGCCUGUCUGUG
ensembl:lncRNA